rnacentral:lncRNA from 1 species
UUUACCUUGUUUAUUUUGUAAAUUCAAAAUAUGCUGGGAAGUCUUCCAGGCUAUGUGAAAAAAAAAAGUGGACCACAGCUCAUGGCUAAAAUGAGGUUGGUGAGCUCUUUUAAUCUCUGCUGGCUGAGGUCCCGAGCAGCAUGAUCAUCUAAGAUUUGGAAGUGUCAGAUGCUACAGUAGAAUGGACAGUUUCUGAGUUAGCAGUCCUAGUACAGGAGAAGUGGGGUGGUUGUGAUGAUUAAUACUGAGUGUCAACUUGAUUGGACUGAAGGAUGCAAAGUAUUAAUCCUGGGUGCUUCUGUGAGGGUGUUGCCAAAGGAAAUUAACAUUUGCAUCAAUGGGCUGGGGCAGGCAGACCCACCCUUAAUCUGGAUGAGCACCAUCUAAUCAGGUGCCAGUGAAUAUAAAGUAGGCAGAAGAAUGUGAAAAGGCGAGACUGGCUUAGUCUCCCAGCCUACAUCUUUCUCCCGUGCUGGAUGCUUCCUGUCAUCGAACAUCAGACUCCAAUCUUCAGUUUUGAGAUUUAGACUGGCUCUCCUUGCCUCUCAAGCUUGCAGACAGCCUAUUGUGGGACCUUGUGAUCAUCCUAUCAAUCAAGACCACAUCCUUUCAAAAGCUUAUAGAGCAGAAGUAGACUCCUACCACGCGUUCAGCUGGUGUCCUUUGACUGCUGCUUUGCUCAGUUCCACCUUGGAUGGCUUGCACUGCAUUUAACGGUUGGAAGUUAGACUUUUUGUAAAUCUACUCAUUUAUAUCAAGUUGAAGAGAGAUUUCCCUGAACACAGAAGAAGGAGGGCUUAUGAAGAUUCUUUUUUCUUUAUUUUCUCUUUUGUUUUGGUAAGUGGCCUUAAGGAAUCUAUAAUUCUUCAAAUUCCAUGGAAGAGAAACUUAACUAAAACAUUCAGCAUAUUUCUUCCAGUGAUUUCCCAAGUCAUCUGCUAUUUUGCUAAUAAAUAUCUUAUCACUUUGUCUCUUUGUCUGAUAGUACAUAUUUAUAUUCCUUUUACCCCGUUAGCCUGGAACUUCCUCAUGGGUAGGAGUUGUAACUUAUCCAUACUUACUGUACUUAGGGCAGAGCUUUAACAUAAAGGAGAUAUUUAAUAAAUUUUUUGGUGUGUGUGUGUAUUCAUACAGUUUUUAAAUACAUAUAUAGAUUUAGGGGGUACUUGUACGAAUUUGUCACAUAGCUAAAUUGCAUAAUGGUGAGAUUUAGGCUUCUAGUGUGCCUGUCACCCAGAUAGUGAAUAUUACGCCCAGUAGGUAAUUUUUCAGCCCUUACUCCCCUCUCUUCCCUCACUGCUUUUGGCAUCCCUAGUGCCUGUUAUUUCCCUUUGUAUGUCCAUGUGUACCUAUCACUUAGCUCCUAGUAAUAAAUAGAUGUGAUAUUUGAUUUUCUGUUUCUGAGUUAUUUCAUUUAGGAUAAUGGCCUCCAGCUCCACUCAUGUUGCUGCAAAAGACAUACUUUCAUUCUUUCUUUUAUGGCUGCAGAGUAUCCAAUUGUGUACGUGUUCCACAUAUUCUUUAUCCAGUCAUCCACUGAUGGACUUACACAAUUUUGUUGCACAGGUCAUUCGCCCGUGCACCAUUACCAAAAGAUCCUUUUCCUGAAAUAAGGCCACUCUAAAAACUCUGAGGAGCUGGGUUUUUGAGUUUCUCAUCCAGAUCAGGUACCUCUGUGACUUAGGAUCUGAACACUUCCUUCUUUACAAUUGAAAGUUUGAGGGGCCUGAGCUCAUUCAUUCUGUUUUUGUCUUUCAGUGGGGCUGCACCAGAAACAUUCUAGUAUUUUAGUAGAGUUUCAACUUUUUUAAAAAAAAGACAUCUAUCUUGGGAGCAAUGGCUUUUUCAUGUACAUUGAGAGGUGUUUUUUUCUCAGUAGAUUUGAGAGUUGAUGGCUUAUUUCCCUAUCCUCUCCCUAUGUCUGUCUAGAGAUGAUCCAUGUCCCUGAGUUGGGAUAAUAUCGUCCACAUGCCCACCCAGACUGUGAUUAUUGACGUUAGUGUGUGCACAAAGGUUAACUGUUGUUCCCAGAAAUCUCAAGAGGAUUUGUGGGAUUUAGUAAUCCUGGAAUCCUGAGCUUAGUCUCUUGGAGAUGGAUCUUACAUGAGGGAAAGCAGCUGUGUUAUCUGUAGGUGGAAAGAUCCACAUUUAGCUUAAAUCAAGUAUUAGUUGCACUAACUCUUCAGCAUUAUAUUGACAUCAGAUUUUCACGUUAAUUCUGUCUGUCUUUCUCACACACACAUUCCCGUUCAUUCUGGCUUUAUAGCAGUCGGCUGAAUAGUACUCUUUUCUUUGUCAGAAAAGCAAAACAUUUGUUAUGGUGCUUAAUCAAAUCCCAGGAUGGAUGUUUGUAUGCCUUUGAGUUCUUACAGUGAAAUGUGAUAGUUAACAUUUUGGCCUAUCUGAGAGGAUGCUAGCGAAUGUAAAGAACAAAUACAUUGAUUAUUAUUAUAGCUAUCUGUGGAUGUUUCUGCCAGAAAUCUUUAUAUUCCACAAGUUUUUUGUCAUAUAAACUAUUUCAACCAUUGUUAGCCAUCUAUAUAAAAG